GCAGCUCAUUUGGUUAAAGCGUGUUGCUGAUGAUGCCAAGGUUGCAGGUUCAAUCCCUGUAUGGGGCA
rnacentral:tRNA from 1 species